GGCAGUGUGCAUGGCAGUAUCGUAGCCAAUGAGGUUUAUCCGAGGCGCGAUUAUUGCUAAUUGAAAACUUUUCCCAAUACCCCUCCGUGACGACUUGCAAUAUGUCCUAUUCUUUAAAAAAAGGCUGUAAUUAAAUGUUUCGGGGAAUAAAGCAUUAAUGAAUA
rnacentral:snRNA from 1 species